rnacentral:lncRNA from 1 species
AUACACGAAAACGAAUGCUGGGCUAACAACUAUGUUCUCCAAGAUGCAUUCUGAAUGCAAUAGAAAGAUCCUGAAUAAUCUUCAAGGCCAAAAUCAUUAAAAGGCUUACAUUUACCUCAGCAGUUGAUGUAUAUAUGUUUUCCUUUGACAACUACUGAGCCAAGAUAUCUUUAAGAGAGAAGCUUGAAGUACAAUAUAACAUCUGCUUUUACCGACAAUUACCAGCAAGACUCUGUUCCAUUAGAUUGAUAAUUUCCACAACCUCUUCCAAUUAUUUAAUGAUCAUUUCAAUUACCUGCUCUCUUUUCUUGUCAAUCUGCAUCUUCUAAGUGUUAACCAGAAUUAUUCUCAUUCUAAGCAAAGAUCCCAUUACAUUCUUCAUUACUUUAAGAAUGACAAGAGUCAGUCUCGUUAUGGUAAGCAUCUGCAAAUCUGUGAUAUAUACUCAUGCUUUAGGGAGUCUACACCUUAUGCUACCAGUUUUAACGUCAAAAAAAGACUCCGAUCCGAAAGUUUUUUGGUUGUGUGUGUAACACUAUUUUGAAGUAUCCAGAAUUCAUACAUAAGUAAAUUAAACAUUGAUUGUAAAUAAAUGAAGAAGAAAGAAAAGGUUUCCUAAGUCAUCUCAGCAUAAAGGUC